UCCAAGGUGUAGAACGGAAAUACCCGGGAGGU
rnacentral:piRNA from 1 species